AUAGUGAGGAAAUCUCCAGUCCUCGAUUCCUGCCUCUCGAACUCGGCUCGCAAGGAAAUUUCAACAUUGUCGAGGAAGCAUCAUUGUAUCAGUGAAGUUUCGGUUCAGUUCUUAUCCUCGAGACACUUUUGUUGUUUCCUUCUUUCCCCCAUCAGAGCUCACUCCGAUAACUAAAUGAAGAAUUAUGUUCGAAAUCAAAAUUACAGUGCUGAUAGGAAGUUGACUGACUGGAAUACAGGGAGAAACUAAGCUUGGGUGCAAAACAUUUCUCCUGAUGAUGGUUUAUCAGACAGACUUAUGCCACUAGGACACCCAAGUAUGUGUUCCAUCAGUGCAAUGGUGUUUUAAGGUGCGUAAGUUUCUUCAUUUUUCAUUCAAAAAUUUUAAAUAUGAUUCAAACUCCAAGGUUUAUUUGGUAGCACAUUGUUGUUCAUUGUUGGUUUUCAAAUAAUUUCUUCUUCCAUGUGUUUGUUUUUUUUUUUUUUAUUUUUAUUUAUUGAGUUGGCCUUCCAUGUGUUUUGUA